rnacentral:rRNA from 1 species
ACGGAGGGUGCAAACGUUGCUCGGAAUCAUUGGGCGUAAAGCGCACGUAGGCGGCCUGAUAAGUUGGAUGUGAAAGCCCUCGGCUUAACCGGGGAAGUGCAUACAAAACUGUCAGGCUUGAGUAUGGGAGAGGAUUGCGGAAUUCCCGGUGUAGAGGUGAAAUUCGUAGAUAUCGGGAGGAACACCAGCGGCGAAGGCGGCAAUCUGGACCAAUACUGACGCUGAGGUGCGAAAGCGUGGGGAGCAAACAGG